AUUGAACGCUGGCGGCAUGCCUUACACAUGCAAGUCGAACGGCAGCGCGGGGCAACCUGGCGGCGAGUGGCGAACGGGUGAGUAAAAUAUCGGAACAUACCCUAGAGUGGGGGAUAACGUAGCGAAAGUUACGCUAAUACCGCAUACGCACUAAGGUGGAAAGUGGGGGAUCUUCGGACCUCAUGCUCAUGGAGUGGCCGAUAUCUGAUUAGCUAGUUGGUGAGGUAAAGGCUCACCAAGGCGACGAUCAGUAGCUGGUUUGAGAGAACGACCAGCCACACUGGAACUGAGACACGGUCCAGACUCCUACGGGAGGCAGCAGUGGGGAAUUUUGGACAAUGGGGGCAACCCUGAUCCAGCAAUGCCGCGUGAGUGAAGAAGGCCUUCGGGUUGUU
rnacentral:rRNA from 1 species